rnacentral:rRNA from 1 species
GGCGAGCGGCGGACGGGUGAGUAAUGUCUGGGAAACUGCCUGAUGGAGGGGGAUAACUACUGGAAACGGUAGCUAAUACCGCAUAACGUCGCAAGACCAAAGAGGGGGACCUUCGGGCCUCUUGCCAUCAGAUGUGCCCAGAUGGGAUUAGCUAGUAGGUGGGGUAACGGCUCACCUAGGCGACGAUCCCUAGCUGGUCUGAGAGGAUGACCAGCCACACUGGAACUGAGACACGGUCCAGACUCCUACGGGAGGCAGCAGUGGGGAAUAUUGCACAAUGGGCGCAAGCCUGAUGCAGCCAUGCCGCGUGUAUGAAGAAGGCCUUCGGGUUGUAAAGUACUUUCAGCGGGGAGGAAGGCGUUGAGGUUAAUAACCUCAGCGAUUGACGUUACCCGCAGAAGAAGCACCGGCUAACUCCGUGCCAGCAGCCGCGGUAAUACGGAGGGUGCAAGCGUUAAUCGGAAUUACUGGGCGUAAAGCGCACGCAGGCGGUCUGUCAAGUCGGAUGUGAAAUCCCCGGGCUCAACCUGGGAACUGCAUUCGAAACUGGCAGGCUAGAGUCUUGUAGAGGGGGGUAGAAUUCCAGGUGUAGCGGUGAAAUGCGUAGAGAUCUGGAGGAAUACCGGUGGCGAAGGCGGCCCCCUGGACAAAGACUGACGCUCAGGUGCGAAAGCGUGGGGAGCAAACAGGAUUAGAUACCCUGGUAGUCCACGCCGUAAACGAUGUCGACUUGGAGGUUGUGCCCUUGAGGCGUGGCUUCCGGAGCUAACGCGUUAAGUCGACCGCCUGGGGAGUACGGCCGCAAGGUUAAAACUCAAAUGAAUUGACGGGGGCCCGCACAAGCGGUGGAGCAUGUGGUUUAAUUCGAUGCAACGCGAAGAACCUUACCUACUCUUGACAUCCAGAGAACUUUCCAGAGAUGGAUUGGUGCCUUCGGGAACUCUGAGACAGGUGCUGCAUGGCUGUCGUCAGCUCGUGUUGUGAAAUGUUGGGUUAAGUCCCGCAACGAGCGCAACCCUUAUCCUUUGUUGCCAGCGGUCCGGCCGGGAACUCAAAGGAGACUGCCAGUGAUAAACUGGAGGAAGGUGGGGAUGACGUCAAGUCAUCAUGGCCCUUACGAGUAGGGCUACACACGUGCUACAAUGGCGCAUACAAAGAGAAGCGACCUCGCGAGAGCAAGCGGACCUCAUAAAGUGCGUCGUAGUCCGGAUUGGAGUCUGCAACUCGACUCCAUGAAGUCGGAAUCGCUAGUAAUCGUAGAUCAGAAUGCUACGGUGAAUACGUUCCCGGGCCUUGUACACACCGCCCGUCACACCAUGGGAGUGGGUUGCAAAAGAAGUAGGUAGCUUAACCUUCGGGAGGGCGCUUACCACUUUGUGAUUCAUGACUGGGGUGAAGUCGUAACAAGGUAACCGUAGGGGAACCUGCGGCU